CCAGAGCCAGUGCUUCCAGGGCCAGUGAGGUUCCCUCUGUGGAAAGAGGUACAGCCCCCCAAGGGCAGGAUGGCACCUCCUCUUCACUGCUAACCUCCACCAUCAAUCAUCACCCUGGGAAUCUCCGCCUUGGAAGGGCCCUGUUGUCUCCUCCACUCCCCACCCUGACUCUGGUAAUGGUGUCGCUCCUGGCCCAUCACAUCCCCCUUCUCUGGACAGUGUGGAUUCUCUGAAGCACCCUUCACUGGCUGUGGGCAUGAGAUAUUCCCACCAGGAGGAAGGACAAGAGGUCCUGACCACGCUGGCCAUGCGGUCAGGGCACUACACCAUCCCUACCCUUGUGAUCCUAGGAGGAAGGAAGCCAGGGACCAGCUUCAGAAGCGUCUGGUGGGCGAAUGCAGCUGACGACACUUUCAACAUGCUGCACCGGGUGUCUGUUAAGGUGGCAUCAGCCUUACCAGUGUUGGUCCUAAAGUCCACUUGAAGAGUUCUGGGAGCUGGGAGCUCGAAUUCCAAGAUCAAUGCCUUUGGGAACAAGGCCUGAGAAGCCUUGCAGAAAGCUGGCCAGGUGUCAGAUGAGUGUGCCUGCUCAGCCUAAGGGAAGCAGUGUUUCUUGGGCUCCUGCUGGCUGUCACCAGGAGGAAAUUAUUGUCAGAUCCCUUAAUAUAUCAAAAGAAUCCAG
rnacentral:lncRNA from 1 species